rnacentral:rRNA from 1 species
CACAUUGGGACUGAGACACGGCCCAAACUCCUACGGGAGGCAGCAGUAGGGAAUCUUCCACAAUGGACGCAAGUCUGAUGGAGCAACGCCGCGUGAGUGAAGAAGGGUUUCGGCUCGUAAAGCUCUGUUGGUAGUGAAGAAAGAUAGAGGUAGUAACUGGCCUUUAUUUGACGGUAAUUACCUAGAAAGUCACGGCUAACUACGUGCCAGCAGCCGCGGUAAUACGUAGGUGGCAAGCGUUGUCCGGAUUUAUUGGGCGUAAAGCGAGUGCAGGCGGUUCAAUAAGUCUGAUGUGAAAGCCUUCGGCUCAACCGGAGAAUUGCAUCAGAAACUGUUGAACUUGAGUGCAGAAGAGGAGAGUGGAACUCCAUGUGUAGCGGUGGAAUGCGUAGAUAUAUGGAAGAACACCAGUGGCGAAGGCGGCUCUCUGGUCUGCAACUGACGCUGAGGCUCGAAAGCAUGGGUAGCGAACAGGAUUAGAUACCCUGGUAGUCCAUGCCGUAAACGAUGAGUGCUAAGUGUUGGGA